AGGUUCCAGAAAGUCAUCCGCCUAUGCUUGCAUAAGGCGGUAUGACUUUGGGAACCGCCCUCACAUGAGCAAGAAGCUCGAUAGAGCGGAAUGCGAAUGAGGGGAGGAUUGCGGGAGCGUGAAACGCGGAGCAAUCCGG
rnacentral:sRNA from 1 species